rnacentral:rRNA from 1 species
UACGAAGGGGGCUAGCGUUGCUCGGAUUUACUGGGCGUAAAGGGCGCGUAGGCGGACAGUUUAGUCAGAGGUGAAAGCCCGGGGCUCAACCUCGGAAUUGCCUUUGAUACUGGCUGUCUUGAGUACGGGAGAGGUGUGUGGAACUCCGAGUGUAGAGGUGAAAAUUCGUAGAUAUUCGGAAAGAACACCAGUGGCGAAGGCGACACACUGGCCCGUUAC